UUUCCUUCUAACAGGCCCCUCUGCUGCAGAUUUGCUGGAGUUUGCUGGAGGUCCACUCCAGACACUGCUUUCUAGAGAAUCACCAGUGGAGGCUUCAGAGCAGCAAAGAUUGCUGCCUGUUCCUUCCUCUGGUAGCUUCGUCCCAGAGGGGUACCCACAGAUGCCAGCCAGAGCUCUCCUGUAUAAGAAAGUGUCUGUCUGCCCCUACUGAGAGGUGUCUCCCAGUCAGGAUACACACGGGUUAGGAAGCCACUUGAGGAGGCAGUCUGUCCCUUAUCAGAGCUCAAACACUGUGCUGGGAGAUCCACUGCUCUCUUCAGAGAUGCCAAGCAGGGACGUUUAGGUCUGCUGAAGCUAUACCCACAACCACCCCUUUUCCCAGGCGCUUUGUCCCAGGACGGUGGGACCUUUAUUUAUGACCUGAUGGGCUGCUGCCUUUUUUCAGAGAUGCCCUGCCCAGCAAGGAGGGCAUCUAGUGAGACAUUCUGCCUGCAGAUGCUAAGCUGUGGUGGGCUCCACCCAGUUCAAACUUCCUGGCAGCUUUGCUUACACUGUGAGGUUGAAACUACCUAUUGGAGCCUCGGCAAUGGUGGAUGCCCCUCCCCCCACCAAGCUCAAAGUCCCAGGUCAAGCUCAGACUGCUGUGCUGGCUGCAAGAGUUUCAAGCUGGUGGAUCUUAGCUUGCUGUCAUGGGGGUGGGAUGCACCAAGCCAGAUCAUUUGGCUCCCUGGCUUUAGCCCCCUUUCCAGGGGAGUGAACAUUUCUGUCUUGCUGGCAUCCCAGGUACCAUUAGGGUAUAUGAAGAAAAAAAACUCCUGCAGCUAGCUUGGUAUCUGCUCAAACAGCUGCCCAGUUUUCUGUUAGAAACCCAGGGCCCUGGUGGUUGAAUAGGUACUGGAGGACAUCUCCUGGUUUGUGGGUUGUGAAGACUGUGGGGAAAAUGCAGUAUCUGGGCUGGAGUGCAGAGAACCGUUCCUAAUGGCUUCCCUUGGCUAGAAGAGGGAGUUCCCCAGCCCCUUGUGCUUACUGGGUGAGGCGACAUACCACCUGCUUUGGCUCACCCUCCUUGAGCUGCUCCCACUGUCCAACCAGUCCCAAUGAGAUGAACCAUGUACCUCAGUUGGAAAUGUGGAAAUCACCCACCUUCUGCAUUGAUCUUGCUGGGAGCUGCGUACCAGAGCUGUUCCUAUUUGGCCAUCUUGCCAGCGUCCCAAGAAUAUGAUUUUUAAAAUAAACUUUGGAGAUGUAAACAAAGUCUUGAAUCUGCAGGCUGAAAGGGCACAUGAGAUGCUUGAAAAAAAUAUAUAUUUCCAUAUUUACGCAAAUUCACUCCAAUAUAUGGCUGGUGGAGUUGCUAAAUUUCAAAGAUAGGAAAAUUGAUAGGAAAAGUCAGUUAUGUAGAAAAGGGGAAAAUCAGGUUUUCUUUAUACUUCUCCAUAGUUGCAUCUACAAAAUAUGUGGUAAUGGAUUAGGAUUGGAGACAUCUGUGUGAACUCAUGUUUAGCUGAAUUUAGAUGCAGCUAGAUACAUAUAAAAACCCUUAUACAUAUGCUUAUUGUGAUACUUUAUAAUAUAUAUCAUAUAUUAUGUGUGCAUAUAUAUAUAAUCAUCAUACAUAUAUGAAAUAGUCUUUUGUCCACAGUUCCUGGCUUAUAACUCCUAUAGCCUUUGUUACACUUGUUAUAGUCACUUGUUAUAAUCUUGGGGCACUUCAGGCCUCAGGAGCAAGCCUCAGGAAACAGAAUCUCUCUCUCUCUGACCUCCUGUCCUCCUCUUGCCUGCACAAGGCGGGACCCUACUCUGAUUGUGGAUCAAGAGAUCCUCGUUCCAGAGAGGCGCCUGCCCUAUACUCUGGAGGAAGGAAUGCUGCACAGAGAGGCUAGGAAGAAUCUGUACAAGGCUGCACACAGUGACUUCCAUCCAACGAGUACAACAUAGAAUGGGGGGACAAAGAAUGGAGAAACCUGACAAACACUGCCUCGGCUCUGUGAUCAAGCCCAGCAUUGGUGGUAAGUUGUGUUCAUGUCAUGUACCCUUGAUAUAAUGUGAUGAGAAUGACGCUUUACUUCUGUUCUCUUCCUCGCAUGAACCCAUAACCUCAAUGUAAUUAUAAGAAUAACAUCAGACAAAUUGAGGGCCAGCCUACAAAGUACUCUGACUUGUACUCCUCAAAACUGUCAAGGUCAUCAAACACAGGGAAAGUCUGAGAAACCACAGCCCAGAGAAGUCCAAGGAGGCACGAUGCUUCAUAUGCUGUGGUAUCCUGGACAGAAUCCUGGAUCAGAAAAAGAAGGGCAGGUGAAAAGAAAUUCAAAUAAAGUGUGGACUUUAGUUAAUUACAGUAUAUCAAUAUUUAUUCAUUAGUUUUAACUGACAGAUACACGAAUGUGACACAUUAACAACAGGAGAAACUGUGAGGUUCCCUUAUGCCCUUGGUACUAUCUCUGUAAAUUUUCUGUAAAUGUAAAACUAUUUAAAAAUUAGAAAAUAUUUUAAAACAAAAUUUUUUCAACCCAGAA